rnacentral:rRNA from 1 species
GCUGAGGACUAUAGCGAGAGUGAACCACCUGAUCCCAUCCCGAACUCAGAAGUGAAACCUCUUUGCGCCGAUGGUAGUGUGGCAUUCGCCAUGUGAGAGUAGGGCAUCCUCAGCU